UUCAGAAGCUCUUGCUUUACAAAGAAGGCCUCAAGAGCUGAUCCCAAGCCUUAUAAUCCCAUACCCAAAGCUCAUCCCACUGGAUGAGGAGUGUUCCAUGGAUAAGACCCUAUCUGUUAAGAUGCUGGAGCCUGAGAGAUCAGGCAUUUACCUGAUAAAGUAGACAGCUGUAGGAGGCCUUUUCUUGAGGAUAAUCUUAUGCAGAGGAUGGGUACUAGGAAGAGGGCACAGGGCCCCAGAGAAAGAGGCAUCAGUGUUCAGGAGAUUCUCAUUUCCAUCAUGGACACCCCAAAUAAUCAUCCCUCAAAAGAAAUGAUAAAACAAUCAGACUAUUCAGACAAAAUCAAGCAAAUGGUUGCCACUUUGACUCCUCAUUCCUCAUCCAAUUAUCUAUCUUUUCCUACCAGGAGACUCUAGGAACCCCCAGAGAACCCCUGGCAACCUUUGGAAACCUUGGCCCUAAAGGAGCUAUGUCAGGUUUCCAUGAAGACCCUAGGAGUCCUGCUGGUUCCCUAACAUUUUCACAGCAGUCCUGAGUCAGGUACUCCAGCAAGAGGUUGGAAAGUGUCACUCUUAUGAUGCAAGGACUACCUUGGUGAUGCUGGAUACCCAUUCCACAUGCUCCCAGCUGUGACAAGCAUCAACAGGAGAAAUUUGGCAUCAAGAGGCAGAAGCCUGGGUAUCACCUCUCCAUGCCACCUAGAAAGCUUUGCUCAUAGACAGGCUGCAGCAUCCAGGGCACAAAGAACGUAAAAGCCUAGUGUGGACUUUGAGAAGGGUAUGACGUGAGAAGACAUUCGCUGCACUCUGGUACUGCUGAGACAUCCUGACAAGAGUUACAGGGUUCCAAACAGACUUGGAUGGUGACAUCAGAAGUGGCAACAUGUUUCUUCAAUGAUGGACUUCAAUGACUAUUAAUUGCAGCCUGCCAUAACUGCAGGACCUGGAGAAGGCAGACCCCUGUGGGUUAACAUAUCUGCAUCACUUUGGCUACAAUACAGUUACAGCUUUCUACAUAUGCCAUGACCUGAACAGUAUUGGGAGACUUGCCUGUUAUUCUUUCAGCAAACCAGUUACAACUGGAAUUUAUAAAAUGGAAUUGGAUUGGCUAAGACAAUGACAUUUCUUAUCUAUUGCCUCAGAAAAGCAAGUCAUCACUUCUCUUGUUUAACUAGGUGUUUCACAAAGCCACAAGGAAUAUAGUUCUUUAGUUGGAAAUGGUAUUUUCUCCAUCUACAAGAUGUGGAAAAUAGUAUACACAUAGUAUGUUUGACUCUGUAAAACUGACGUCAGAAUUCCAGAAGAUCCUUCGUCCUCUAGAGAAAUGAGUCAACAAAGGGAAUUUGAGGAAGGGGGUAGUGCUGGAAAACUGAAGCAGGAGAGACUUGAUAAGUGAUUGAGCAAAGGAGCUGUCAAUUAUUUCUGUUCAGCAAAUCAGUUCCCAGCAAAUUAGCCCACAACAAAUUAGACCACAAGAAACAAGACCCCCAAAGGGUGGUUCUAAAGGAAGCCCAAGGCUUGAAAGGAGGGAAUGUAAGGCAAGCAGACCCUAGUGAAAGAUGUGGCUGUCGUGGAGGCCAGACCCAACUGCCAUGUUAGGCUGAUGGAUGAGGACCAAAGGCUUUGGAGAAAGGUAGAGUCAGUUUUCAUUUCUGGCUGGUUGUCGGUUCCUCAGCCAAACAAAAACUGCAAGAAAGUAAAACAAGCAGAGAGAAAAGGAUCAAGACCAGAGGUAGAAUUUGGAACCAUGCAAAAUACCAGGAGAGAUGUAAAAGGAGAGGCUUGCCCCAAAGCCCAGAGAUAGAAAGUGUCCCUCUCACCUAAAGGACCAGAAGAAGGUGGGCCUGGCAGGCCCAGUCCAGAGGAAAUGGACGAGAGCCCCCUUGCUGGUGCAAAGGAUGUGGAGAAGGUUCCCGGCAGGAUGGAAUUCUUACCUGACUUGCAGCUGGACCAACCCAAGCCUGUGGUGGGUUUUAAGCCUUUGCCAUUUAUCCAGGUCAUAACGAGGAUAAAAGGUCAAGGAAGGGUCCAGUGGGAUGAAGAAUGAGAGGAGGAGGACAGAAAGCAGUCACAUACUCCUGGCUGCACUUUCCCUUCCAUAAAACAAACUUAUAUCAUCUCCACCUCAUAGGGGUAAAAUCCUAUGACUCUCAAACAAGUUUCUUGCAAAGAACAUGUAAAAUAAGUAUUUUUGUAGGUAGCAAUAGUUAUAGAAAAUUUUUUCAUGUUCAACUUUUGCCUAAGUGUAGGCUCUGGCUCCCUUCUCGCUGGCUGCUACAGCCACCUGCAGAAGCCCAGAGCAGGAGCCUACCUUCCUAUUAAAUGACAAAUGGAACUGCUCCUUUUGGCGACCAGCAACCAGGAGAUACCAGGGAUGGGUGAGUGCAUCUACCUAGUUGUUCACCUCUCCUAGCACAAACAGAGGAUGUGGGGAAACAGUGGGAGAGUGAACACUUUGACAAGAAAGGGAGCAUUUUGGAGGAAUAUUUACUGGGGAAAUUUCUCUCUUUACCUAAGUACAGUGUUCAGGAAUCUCUGUGUUGCAAAUAGGGACAGCAGCUGAGAUUCAUGUGCCUCCUGGGUAUGUGGCCACCAGUGACCACCUCAGAAGGCCUCAGGUGCCGCCUAGGAUCAGCCCUGCCUGUGCAGUCCACAGCCUGUUACUCCAGUUCGUGAACCGAACUCAUCUUGGCCAGGGCUAUCCACCAACUCCUAAGGUUUGAAAUGCAAUGCUGAGCUUUUUGGGUAAAAACAAGCCCUUUCUUUUUCUCACACGUCAUUUGCUUUGGUAGGGCUCCCAGGAUUGAAUGUUUUGUAUCUGCCAUUUCUCUGCAGCUCAGCUAUUCCCUGCUGUUAUCUUUGGCUCUGUUGCUAUGGGCGGGAAUAUUUUUUUGUCCUGGCUUAAUAACUCCUUGGCUGCCAGCAGUGCUCAUUUCUCAUUGUAUUGGUGGAGGAUUAGUGUAGAUGUUUGGGAGAUAUUUCCUGUAUUAAGCAGCAGGGGAGAGCUUGCUGGACCUGGGCCUUCUUUUGACAUUGAAUCACACUUUUUUUCCCUCACUUUAACUCUUGGAAUGUGCUGAGGCCAGUCGUUUGCACUCAGAGCAGCUACUCCUCCCUGGCAUUUUGCAGCUCUGCAGCUCUUCUCCAGGUGCCCUUCCAUCGAUGCUUCUUGGGGAGGCUGCAGUGAGUCUCAAGCAAUCACCUUGGCUGGGUUUUUGUCUUUGUCUUUUCUCUUUUUUUACAUUUGGGGCUUAAUAGUAUACUGCAUCACCAAUUCACUUUCCAGGGUUAAUUGACUUUAAGCCCAUUUCAUACUUCAAAUUCUUUGACCAUUAACUCACCACCUUUCUCUUGGAGCUACCAGCCUCUCCACAGCUAACUUGAACCAAGUAAUCUGUGAUGCCUAAGGAUCCUGGGAUAUAUGUUUGCACUCUGUUUGCAACUAUAAAUUAACUGCUUAUAGAGUUUUAGUACCCUCGUGUCUGCCUAAAACAAUUCUCAAACAAUAGAAAGAAGCUAUUAAUAAAAGUUGCCAAAGGAGAAUAAAAAUCAAUGACAUUUUAGUCCAUACUGGAUUGAGAUAAAGAAGAAUGAAUGCUGAAACUGGCUGGAAAUCUUUGUUAGAGUCGGGUGGCAUCACAGUGAAAAUUACAUAGGGUUUGGAGUUUGAGGCCACUGCUUAAAGCUCUGGGAACCUGGUUCCACCAUCUUGGUCCAUAAAGUGGAAACUGAAACCUGUGAAAGUAUUGAGAAAAUGGCUGCCAUUCCUAUCCCUGCCCUUACUUUGUGGAGGAACAACAUACCUGAUCGGUGAAUUGGAAAUAAAGAGAUUCCUUGUGUGGUACUCCGUCUCUCAGGGGUCUGUCUUCAGACCAGCUGUAUUCCACCCAGCCCCAACUUCCAUUGCUGAGGCCAUGGCCAGGCCCAGGCCCACCUUGCUUUUCUUGGAGAAAGUGAUAGUGAUUCCAGACAAAUAUAU
ensembl:lncRNA